AGUGAACGCUGGCGGUAGGCCUAACACAUGCAAGUCGAACGGCAGCACAGUAAGAGCUUGCUCUUACGGGUGGCGAGUGGCGGACGGGUGAGGAAUACAUCGGAAUCUACUUUUUCGUGGGGGAUAACGUAGGGAAACUUACGCUAAUACCGCAUACGACCUACGGGUGAAAGCAGGGGAUCUUCGGACCUUGCGCGAUUGAAUGAGCCGAUGUCGGAUUAGCUAGUUGGCGGGGUAAAGGCCCACCAAGGCGACGAUCCGUAGCUGGUCUGAGAGGAUGGUCAGCCACACUGGAACUGAGACACGGGCAAGACUCCUAAGGGAGGCAGCAGUGGGGAAUAUUGGACAAUGGGCGCAAGCCUGAUCCAGCCAUACCGCGUGGGUGAAGAAGGCCUUCGGGUUGUAAAGCCCUUUUGUUGGGAAAGAAAAGCAGCAGGUUAAUACCCCGCUGUUCUGACGGUACCCAAAGAAUAAGCACCGGCUAACUUCGUG
rnacentral:rRNA from 1 species